rnacentral:rRNA from 1 species
AGUGAAGCGGCAACAGCUCAAAUUUGAAAUCUGGCCCUUGUGGUCCGAGUUGUAAUUUGUAGAGGAUGCUUUUGGUGAGGUACCUUCCGAGUUCCCUGGAACGGGACGCCAUAGAGGGUGAGAGCCCCGUCUGGUUGGAUACCGAUCCUCUGUAAAGCUCCUUCGACGAGUCGAGUAGUUUGGGAAUGCUGCUCUAAAUGGGAGGUAUAUGUCUUCUAAAGCUAAAUAUUGGCCAGAGACCGAUAGCGCACAAGUAGAGUGAUCGAAAGAUGAAAAGCACUUUGAAAAGAGGGUUAAAUAGUACGUGAAAUUGUUGAAAGGGAAGCGCUUGUGACCAGACUUGGGCUUGGUUAAUCAUCCAGGGUUCUCCCUGGUGCACUUGGCCAGCCCAGGCCAGCAUCAGUUUGUCGCGGGGGAUAAAGGCGUUGGGAAUGUGGCUCCCUCGGGAGUGUUAUAGCCCUUCGUGUAAUACCCUGCUUUAGACUGAGGUUCGCGCAUCUGCAAGGAUGCUGGCGUAAUGGUCAUCAGCGACCCGUCUUGAAACACGGACCAAGGAGUCGUCUUCGUAUGCGAGUGUUCGGGUGUCAAACCCCUACGCGUAAUGAAAGUGAACGCAGGUGAGAGCUUCGGCGCAUCAUCGACCGAUCCUGAUGUUCUCGGAUGGAUUUGAGUAAGAGCAUACGGGGCCGGACCCGAAAGAAGGUGAACUAUGCCUGUGUAGGGUGAAGCCAGAGGAAACUCUGGUGGAGGCUCGCAGCGGUUCUGACGUGCAAAUCGAUCGUCAAACAUGGGCAUGGGGGGCGAAAGACUA